GAGAAUCAGAAACCGAGGUAGCUCGAAAUGCUAAACUUCACAUUGGACAAAUAAUAAAAAUUAAAACUAAAACAAAAUAAAACAAGAAAGCUCAACCAAAUCAAUCAGCUCAAAACGCUGUCAAUUUCCAGUCGAACAUAUGCGCCUAACUGCAUUGCUUAGAAACAAAAAAAAAAAAAAAA